rnacentral:rRNA from 1 species
UGAACGCUAGCGACAGGCUAACACAUGCAAGUCGAGGGGUAACAGGGUAGCAAUACCGCUGACGACCGGCGCACGGGUGAGUAACGCGUAUGCAACCUGCCUAUAACUGGGGAAUAGCUCCCUGAAAGGGGAAUUAACACCGCAUAACACUAUUGAUUCGCAUGGAUUAGUAGUUAAAUGUAGCGAUACAGGUUAUAGAUGGGCAUGCGUGACAUUAGCUAGUUGGUGAGGUAACGGCUCACCAAGGCUACGAUGUCUAGGGGUUCUGAGAGGAAGGUCCCCACACUGGUACUGAGACACGGACCAGACUCCUACGGGAGGCAGCAGUGAGGAAUAUUGGUCAAUGGGCGCAAGCCUGAACCAGCCAUGUCGCGUGCAGGAAGACUGCCCCCUAUGGGUUGUAAACUGCUUUUAUAGUAGAAGAAACACAUCUACGCGUAGAUGUCUGCCAGUAUACUAUGAAUAAGCAUCGGCUAACUCCGUGCCAGCAGCAGC